rnacentral:rRNA from 1 species
GAUGAACGCUGGCGGCGUGCCUAAUACAUGCAAGUCGAGCGAAUGGAUUAAGAGCUUGCUCUUAUGAAGUUAGCGGCGGACGGGUGGGUAACACGUGGGUAACCUGCCCAUAAGACUGGGAUAACUCCGGGAAACCGGGGCUAAUACCGGAUAACAUUUUGAACCGCAUGGUUCGAAAUUGAAAGGCGGCUUCGGCUGUCACUUAUGGAUGGACCCGCGUCGCAUUAGCUAGUUGGUGAGGUAACGGCUCACCAAGGCAAGGAUGCGUAGCCGACCUGGGAGGGUGAGCGGCCACACUGGGACUGAGACACGGCCCAGACUCCUACGGGAGGCAGCAGUAGGGAAUCUUCCGCAAUGGACGAAAGUCUGACGGAGCAACGCCGCGUGAGUGAUGAAGGCUUUCGGGUCGUAAAACUCUGUUGUUAGGGAAGAACAAGUGCUAGUUGAAUAAGCUGGCACCUUGACGGUACCUAACCAGAAAGCCACGGCUAACUACGUGCCAGCCGCCGCGGUAA